AGCAGCCGCGGUAAUUCCAGCUCCAAUAGCGUAUAUUAAAGUUGUUGCAGUUAAAAAGCUCGUAGUUGAAUUUCGGGACUAACAGAUUGGUCGCGCCUUUGGUGUGUACUGGUCUAGUUGGUUUCUCCCUUCUGACGAACCACGAUGUCAUUAGUUUGGUGUUGCGGGGAAUCAGGACUGUUACUUUGAAAAAAU
rnacentral:rRNA from 1 species